rnacentral:rRNA from 1 species
CUACGGGUGGCAGCAGUGGGGAAUAUUGCACAAUGGGGGAAACCCUGAUGCAGCGACGCCGCGUGAAGGAUGAAGGUCUUCGGAUCGUAAACUUCUAUCAGCAGGGAAGAAACAAAUGACGGUACCUGACUAAGAAGCUCCGGCUAACUACGUGCCAGCAGCCGCGGUAAUACGUAGGGAGCGAGCGUUAUCCGGAUUUACUGGGUGUAAAGGGUGCGUAGGCGGCCUGGUAAGUUAGAAGUGAAAUUUUGGGGCUCAACCCCAGAGCUGCUUCUAACACUGCUGGGCUAGAGUGCAGGAGAGGAAAGCGGAACUCCACGUGUAGCGGUGAAAUGCGUAGAGAUGUGGAGGAACACCAGUAGCGAAGGCGGCUUUCUGGACUGUAACUGACGCUGAGGCACGAAAGCGUGGGGAGCAAACAGGAUUAGAUACCCGCGUAGUC